CAUGAACAUCGACAUUUCGAACGCACAUUGCGGUCCUGGGAUUCCAUUCCCGGACCACUCCUGGCUGAGGGUCGUAUCUAUUUAAAAGACUGCUCGGUUUUCGAUCGUCAUCAUCGUCGUCGUCGUCGUCUUUUCGACGAGGAGACUGGUGGUGAUUGGUCGAUUACGUCGGAGCGUGUUGGAUGUACGACGCGAAAGAAAGAGGAGAGGAGGUGGUGGCGAAUUUACUUCUCCUCCUCCGUUCUCUUUCUCCCUCUCUCUCAUUCGCGACAUCUCAAAACGUGAAUACACGUUCACGUUCAUAUUACGUUUAUCGAAAUGUGAACGUGUAGAGUGUAACCGCGAUUCGAGCGGGGCUUUAUUAAAUACGUCGUCGCCUAUGUAUUAUACUAUAGUCGUCAAUACGUGUUUAUCGUAUAGUCUUGGAGCGCGCGCGCGCGCUCGUGCCGGUCGACGUGUCCGAUAUUAUUCUUUUUGUAAUAUAAAGGAAAUCGACGUCUGAACCGGCAAUGAUGAUGCCGUCGCCAACGAUCGACACGCGUUAUAGAUUUAUAUCUAUAUAUUUCUAUCUAUCGACCUCAGAGCAGGUGAGACUACCCGCUGAAUUUAAGCAUAUUACUAAGCGGAGGAAAAGAAACUAACUAGGAUUCCCUCAGUAGCUGCGAGCGAACAGGGAAGAGCCCAGCACCGAAUCCCGCGGCCGACAUCGGGCGCCGGGAAAUGUGGUGUUCGGGAGGGUCCGUUAUCUCGAUGUCAUGCGACGCGUCCAAGUCCUUCUUGAACGGGGCCCCAACCCAUAGAGGGUGCCAGGCCCGUAGUGACCGUUGCUGAUGGCGGGAGGAUCUCUCCUUAGAGUCGGGUUGCUUGAGAGUGCAGCCCUAAGUGGGUGGUAAACUCCAUCUAAGGCUAAAUAUAACCACGAGACCGAUAGCGAACAAGUACCGUGAGGGAAAGUUG
rnacentral:rRNA from 1 species